AGACAAGUUGUUGAUAUACUAACGAGAUUUACACCUGCUCCGGGGUAGAUGAUACACUCGAUAGACUCCAUAGUUAAAUAUAAAGAGAACAUCAGAAUUAUAACUGUUGCAACCGAAUAAAAAAAUUUCCAACCUGUAUUUGAUGUCUAUGUUACCCGCUCUUCAUUUUCCAACCUGUAUUUGAUGUCUAUGUUACCCGCUCUUCAUUUUGUCGGAUGUACCAGUGUCAGGUACUCGACACUUGAACGUGGACAUUCCAAACACUUAUUAUAAGCCAAA
rnacentral:lncRNA from 1 species